AGAUUAUUAUAUAAAUACUAUAAAUUAAAUAUCUAAUAAUAAAAAAAAAAAAAAAAAAAGUAAAAUCAUUGCUUAGAUAUUAAUGUAAAUAUUAUUUUUAUAACAGAGGCUCAUGGGUUAGUUUAUAGUUUUAUUAGAAAUAUUUAUUAAAUUAGUUAAAUUUGUGCCAGCAUCUGCGGUUAGACUAAAAAUUUGAUUAAUAUUUUUUAGAGUUUUGUAUUAUUUUAUAUUUAUACAAUAAAUUUUGGUGGAAUAAAUUAUUUGAGCGUUUAAUUUUAUUGAUCUGUAUGUUUUUUUACUAAGCAGGAUUAGAUACCCUGUUAUUUUAAUUUUUAUUGUUUCUAAGGAAUAAAGUUAAAUUUAAAAGAUUUGGCGGCUGAAAUAAAUUAAAGGAGUCUGUUUUUUUAUUUGAUGAGGCGCACUAGAUUUUACUUACUUUUUUUAGUAUACCGUCAUUUAAGAUAGUUUAUAGUUAAUUAACUAUUGUAAUUAAAUAAAGGAGGUUAGAUCAAGGUGCAGAUAUAAGUAAGGAUAAAUUGACUACAAUAGGUUAUUAUUAUACUUAAUUUUUUUAAAAAAAUUGUGUAGGCGGAUUUAAUUGUAAUUAAAGCGGUAUGAAUUUGCUUUUAGUGUACAAAUUGCCCGUCAUUCUCUAUGAGACAAGUCGAAACAAAGUAGGGCUAUCGGAAGUUGGACCUA
rnacentral:rRNA from 1 species